rnacentral:rRNA from 1 species
UACGUAGGUGGCAAGCGUUGUCCGGAAUUAUUGGCGUAAAGCGCGCGCAGGCGGUCCUUUAAGUCUGAUGUGAAAGCCCACGGCUCAACCGUGGAGGGUCAUUGGAAACUGGGGGACUUGAGUGCAGGAGAGAAGAGUGGAAUUCCACGUGUAGCGGUGAAAUGCGUAGAGAUGUGGAGGAACACCAGUGGCGAAGGCGACUCUUGGCCUGUAACUGACGCUUGAGGCGCGAAAGCGUGGGAGCAAACAG